rnacentral:rRNA from 1 species
UUGUAGCCUUUUGGUUAAGUGUUAGAAUUUUGUUUUCAAGGAUGAAGUAUCAUUGUGGCUUAGUAUUCUAAGGAAAAGUUUUUAAUAGAUAAAGUGUAUAGUAUUGUAAAAGAGGGUUUAAAAGUUAGAAAAAGAAGAUUUAAAUAUUCGUACCUUUUGUAUCAGGUAUUUCAAAUUUGGGGGCAGUCGGUCGACUUCUCGAAAUAUUAAGAUUUAUCUUGAUAAAUUAGGUGUAAGUGAUAAAUUGUAGCGUGAUUUUAAGAUAGAGGUGAAAUGCUAGCCGAUUAAUAUAUAUCUAGUUCGCUGAGAGAAAAGUUUAAUUUUCUCUUAGUUUUAUAAUUAGGGCUAAGGGUUAGCCUGUUGGGCAUGAGCUCAGCAGUCGGGUUUAGUGAGGUUAAAUUAGUUUAAUAAAGUGAGUGGAGCUAGGCUUGAAAUUAGCCAUGUUUAAAGGACGUUAUAGUCUAUUUUCGGUUAACUGUGUUUUUAAAGUAUUUGCUAAAAUUAUCAGUGAGCGUUUUUGAUUGUUAAGUUAGUGUCUAUAAUGAUAUAAUGAGUAGUGUUUAUUGUUGAGUAUUAGAUUUUGAAGAGGUGCUAUAAUUUUAAUAAAGGGGGGUACUGAUUAAGGAACUCGGCAAAUUUUUCCUUUGCCUGUUUAUCAAAAACAUGUCCUCAUGUUGGGUGUAUGAGGUCUGGCCUGCCCACUGAAAGUUUUUGAAGGGCCGCGGUAUUUUAACCGUGCGAAGGUAGCAUAGUCAAUAGUCUCUUAAUUGGAGGCUUGAAUGAACGGUCGGACAUAAGGAAGGCUGUCUGUAAUCAGUAAAAGUGAAUUUAACUUUUGUGUGAAAAGGCAUUAAUGAGUUAAUGGGACGAUAAGACCCUAUAAAACUUGAUAGUUGAUAUUAGGUUCUAUGACAUGUGAGUAAGGGGGGAGUUAAGGAAACUAUUGUGCUGGGGCGGCAGGAAUAGAAUUGUAACUGUUCUUUACUAUAAAAUAAUUAUAUUUAGAUAAUGACCCUGAAUUUCAGGUUGAAAGAUGAAGUUACUUUAGGGAUAACAGCGUUAUUUCUCUUGAGAGUUCAUAUCGACAGAGAUAUUUGCGACCUCGAUGUUGAAUUAAAAAUUUUCCCGGGAGUAGGAGUUCGGGUAAUAGGUCUGUUCGACCUUUAAAAUUUUACAUGAUUUGAGUUCAAACCGGUGUGAGCCAGGUUGGUUUCUAUCUUUUAGCUUUGGUGGGGCUAUUCCAGUACGAAAGGAUCGAGUAGCUGUAAGAUUUGCUUGUGGUUUGAGUAAUAUUAAAUU